UACGUAGGGGGCAAGCGUUGUCCGGAAUCAUUGGGCGUAAAGCGCGCGUAGGCGGCCCGGUAAGUCCGCUGUAAAAGUCCAGGGCUCAACCCUGGAAAGCCGGUGGAUACUGUCGGGCUAGAGUCCGGAAGAGGCGAGUGGAAUUCCUGGUGUAGCGGUGGAAUGCGCAGAUAUCAGGAAGAACACCCGUGGCGAAAGCGGCUCUCUGGAACGGUACUGACGCUGAGACGCGAAAGUGUGGGGAUCAAACAGG
rnacentral:rRNA from 1 species